rnacentral:lncRNA from 1 species
GCUGGGGGGGGGGUGUGGGGAGGUGGGGGAGGGAGGAAGGCAGGGAGGGAAGAUGGAAACAUACCGUACACAAAAUACUCAAUUCCUAGUUUUCUCUUUAAAAAUGGCUAGAAAAAAUUCAUCAAAAUGCAGCACUUUAAUCAAUUAUUUACAAUUUCUAUGUUACAAUGAAAAAAUGUACAUCUUAUAGAACAUAUUUCAUAAACUGCUCCACUGGAAACAACUAGCUCAAAACAGCAAACCUUCCAUUUAGUAUCCACAAAGUCAGAUUAUUUUUUUCUUUUGAAGUAGAUUCGCCACGAUCAAAUUUGAAUACACAGAAUUUUGAAAUUUAAGCAUCAACAGUAAAAUAAAAAACAUCCCCAAGAUACCACAAAGGUCUAGGCAAAUCUUGUUCUUGUUCCUGUCCCACCCCUACCCCGCCCCCCCUUAAAUUAAACGGUACCCCCAUCUCAUUUAUGGCCCGUAUAAUUCUUGGCAGUUUGGGAAGAAAACUUUUGGCUUCCAUUGGUAACUCAACAUAAAUGUUGCAUAGAAUUUCAUAUAUUUCAAAAUUCGCCUAAAUGUAAAAAAAGGCAAAAUGGAAGCAUUUCGGACAGAGCCCUAAAUGAGUAGAAAGUCACUUUGUCAAAGGUGGCUGGGAAAACUGCCCAAGAGGAGAAGUCAAUUUUACCUCCUCCCAAAUUCACAGUAUGAGCGUGUAAGGUCAUCGCUGGGAGAUAAAUUGAGAAGGACCACUCUUCAGGUUUACCAGAAGGCUCAGGGUGUGGCCCGUGGUCACAGGCUAAAUAUAUGGAUCAAAAACGUUAUGAAAAACAGAACAGAACAAGCCACACUCACACACCCAGAUGACUAAGGAAGGCUCGGCAGGGGGUUGAGUCCACUGAGAUUAAAGCAGAGACAGGACGAGAGGUUUUCCAUUCCCCAGCUAGCGGGACACAUUCCCCUUUUCCUUUCCAGGAAGAAAACGGUGUCAUCCAACGUAAUGUGAGCAGUUUCAGGUCAAGCUCUUGUG